AUGCCACUGAUGUCUCUGAUGCCAUCCAACCAUCUCAUCCCCUGUCGUGAGCUGGCUCAAGAAGACCUGGGAUGUAAUUACAUAAGAAUCGACAGGAGGGAGAGAGGUUCCGGAAGAAGCCACAGAAGGGCAAACAGCAGAAAGAAAGGAUGCUCUUUUAGGCGCUGGGUACCAGAGACAGCAGAGAGCGCCCAGCAUGCCCAGUGGAAACCACCAAGGUCUCUGAUUCCAUCAAAGAUGGCAGACCUCAAGACUAUACCAUCCGCCUCCAGGAAUCAGGAGAAUCAGGAUGGUGGAGUUCAAGGAUAUUCGCUCAUCUCCUGCGUGAACACCAAAAUCGCAACUAGCUGCGGAACAACUCCUGACAGGAGGGUGUUGGAACACACCGAGAAAAGAGACCCCAUGUCAAGGACAAAGGAAAAGCCGCAGUGAGAUGGUAGGAGGGGUGCAAUCGCAUUAAAAUCAAACCCCGUACCCGCCAGAGAUUCUCGGAGGGCACAACAAGACCUCAUGUGCACCAGGACCAAGGGAAAGGAGAAGUGAUCCCCCCAAAAAAGAGACAGAGUCAGACCUGCCUGUGAGUGUUUGACGGUCUCCUGCGGAGGCAUGGGUCAGCAAUGGUCCGCCGUGGGGACAGGGGCAUUGGCAGCAGCAACUGCUAUUAGAAGACAUUAUAGCGCCUAGGGCUUGGGUUUGGGAGAUGGAUGGAUCUGGAUUUGAGAUCCACUUGCUUGGAAACUGCCCGGCUGUGUUCCUCUGAAUAAACAUCUUAACCUCUCCGUGCUCCAGUUUCCCACUGUAAUGAGGAUGAUAAAAAUCUCACCCAUUCUAUGUAGAGGUUCUGCCAGUCAGCACUCAAUGUGCCCAUUAUUAAGGGCUAGUUCUUGCUUCUCUUUUAAAAAUACAUUUUUCCCCCUUGCCUUUCCCCAUGACACAAUGAGGAAGCAAUGCCCAAAGGGUAUCCUGUCUUAGAUUCCAAGCUAAUUCACUGAAAUCAAGUUUGUUUGUUUGUUUAAAAGAGGGAAGAGCAGUUUCUGUUCACCCACCAGCAUCCUCGUCACUCCCCAUGGUCACUCCCACUGCUGAUGGGAAAGAGAGGCCGCCGGAAGGAAGGGAAAGCUCAUCAAGGGCUGGAAAAUAUUAAUCUGGGAGCUCACGGAUGGGCAGUGAUGUGCAGCCCCGACAGUGGGCACCGCCUUCACUUUCAGGCUGCCUGUGGGCUGAGCCGGCCCGCCGGCCCGCCCUGGCGCUGGGGGCACUCGGCAUGACACGCCAGGUGUCCCCAGUUCGACGUCCACUUCCAGACUGAUCUCCAAGACAGGGCUGGGGAAGCGGGCAGAGAGACAGAGCGUGGACUAGCGGACAAGAGAGCUCUGACUCCACCAAAAACCCUUUGAAAAGGCCGCAUUUUCGCCCCUUCAAGGAUGGUUUUCAACCAUGACUGUAAAUUAAAAUCACAGAGGAAGCUUUAAAAAAUAAUGCUGAGGCACUGCCCCCAUGGGUUACAAGUCAGUUUUUCUAGGAGUGAACCUUGAAUGUGGGUAUUCUUUAAACUUUCUAAUAAGACUAAAUUUAUUCAAUAUCCUAGUAAAAUUUUGAUUAUAAGUAUCCAAAAGUAUGUGAAAAGCAAG
rnacentral:lncRNA from 1 species